rnacentral:lncRNA from 1 species
CACGAAUAGGAGACUCUAAGGUAAUAUUUACUUUGGUUUACAUUUCAUAAAAAAAGAAGACUGUAAUUUCAUGGAGGCUCUAACAGAAAUUCCUCUUUCUAUCCAAGCGGAAGAAAUCAUGUUCAGGACCUUUCCCCCAGGGCUCAAGGAAAGCACAUUAACAUGGCAACUCCCACUUUGCUUUAUUUGCAAGUUACCCUUGCAGGAGGAUGAGGUUGGAAUUGAGACAAGCUAUAAGUGAACUAACAGGCCAAAGCCUGGGACAUUAAGGGGUAGGCAAAGAUGCUGAGAGGAUAAUCCCAAAGAUGCAGCUCUCCAGCUGAUGAAAAUCAGAAGAGCCAGAUAAUCACUGAGAUAGAUUUUCACCUAGACAGAAGGUAAUUGCAGUGGCUGUAAGCACAAGGGGCGCAGUGGUGACUCCAGUUCUGCCUGUCACCCUUGCCACCACUGACCUUCCCGGCCCUGUGUUUUGGGAUGCUAGAGGAGGGGCUGAGGCCCUUUGAGUGACCUGAAAGGAUGAGCAGGAGGCCUGUCCAGAGCAGCAGUGGGAAAAGACACGUGCAGCGAGCCCUGAGCGUGGGGGAAGCAGAGCUGCAGCCUGUUGCAGACACAGGAGCCUCUGGAGCACAGGUGAUCCCAGGACCUCUCCACACUGAGGCUGAAGGAGCUCUGGCCAGGUGGGACAGUGCCAGUGCCACAGCCAGGCCGGUGCCCAGCCCUGCUCUGCUCCUGCCUUGGGACACUCGGACGCUCGGACAGGUCUCUGGGGAAUGAAGAAAGACUCUGGCUGUGGCUGCUUUUAUGGGUGAGUUUUCAACGGGGUAUCAGAAGUUCAGGGAUUAAAGAUGUUUUUUGGUAUUUCUUGAAAGUCAAAAGCUUUGUCACAUUAUAUUAAAGAGCUCAGUUCUUUAGCAAUGGGGCUUUGCAAAUAUUUCUCGCUCCCCUUUUUGUUCCAAGAAGUGAAUGAUCUGAAACUACCAGGACCUCCAAACCACACUGAGUACCCAGGCCAAGCCCCAGGUUGCGGUCCCACUGUGUUUCCUCCUUGUGCCAGGCUGGAGUGGCUCAGGGGACAGACUGGGGAGGCUGAAAUCAGGGUUGCUCAGAUUUUAUUCUCAGCUGAAACUCAAGGUUUUUAUCAGAAUUAAUUCCCUGUCAGAAACCUGCUGCACAGCUGAGGGGACUGCUAUGAAAGGAGGACAUCCCAGCGCUGGUGGUGUUGGGAGGAGCAGGCACAGAGCUGUGCAGUGGGAUGCCUGCCGUGACUCUGAGCCACUUCCAGAGCAGCAUCCAUCCCCUGCUCCUCACUCCCCACGGUCGGCAGCACAGCAUGGGGCUCCUGUGUCUGCACAAGCUGCUGUUUGCAGAGAAGCACCCUUUACCCUGAAGUGUACAAGCACACACUGCCAGAAAGGUCACCACUGUUUUGUGUAGACCUCAAGAGAAGAACAUGAAUUAAUUUGUUCCCCCCAAAUAACAUUUUAUUUUAGAAACAGGAGAGCUGUUUUUUUUCUCUUGUGCAGUCUGAGGUAUAAUAUUGAGUUCCAGUUUCCCUUAAGAGCUGAACUUCAUCCUCCUACUAGGAUGGUUUUAUUUUAGUUACCAAAUAUUUGAGGUUAAAGUGAAUAGUUCAUCUUUAAUGGGAUUAUCUCUUUCAAUGUUUGCUUUCAUUACAGUUUGAAUUGCUCUGAGCAUGAGAAUCUAACCUCACCAAAAGCAUAUUUUUGUAAUUUGAUACAAACUAAAUUUAACCUUUGACUCUCAUCUAUAAAGACGUUACUUUUUUCCACUGAAAAGCAGAAUGUUAGAUUAAAGAUCUGCCAGUUUCAAUUUCCAGGUUGCUAGCUUUCCUGUGAUUGGGUCCUGCACUGUGGAAAGCUGUGGAUUCAGUGAAGGUAUUUAAUGUUAGCACUAACGCUUGAGAUGCUCUCAUACCUGCUACUUUUAAUGGCUAGCUGUAAGUUCUUUACUGAGUUUUUACAUAGGCAAUAAUUUCCCUGACCUACACUGUACAAUACAGGAGUGGACAGAGAUAUUUAAAAUAAAAUCUUCCCUUUGAGUCA